GGUUAAAAAGCUCGUAGUUGGAUUUCUGUUGAGGGCGGCCGGUCCGCACUUUGUGCGAUGUAUCUGGUUCGGCCUUGGCAUCCUCUUGGGGCACGUUUCUGUGCUUUAUUGCAUUGGACGGGAUUCAAGACUUUUACUUUGAGGAAAUUAGAGUGUUCACGGCAAGCUUUCGCUUUGAAUACAUUAGCAUGGAAUAAUAAUAUAGGGCGUAAGUUCUAUUUUGUUGGUUUCUAGGACAUACGCAAUGAUUAAUAGGGACAAUUGGGGGCAUUCGUAUUAACGCGUCAGAGGUGGAAUUCUUAGAUUGCGUUACGACGAACUACUGCGAAAGCAUUUGCCAAGGAUGUUUUCAUUGAUCAAGAACGAAAGUAUGGGGAUCGAAGACGAUUAGAUACCGUCGUAGUCUAUACCAUAAACUAUGCCAAUUAGAGAUUGGAGGUCGUUCGUUUUAUGACU
rnacentral:rRNA from 1 species